rnacentral:lncRNA from 1 species
GCGCUGAGUCAGCAGCAGUGGGCGCUGCUCUUCGUGUGCGAGGAGACGUCUUUCUUCCUGACUGGGCCUUUGUAGGAAGUCCAGCUCGGUGGAAGCGCUUGCAUAAGCGUCCGUGAGUCUGGUUCUAUAUGGUACGUGUGACGAACAGGAACCGGGUCCAAGCCCGUCCAGGUCAGAAGCAGUUCCUGGUGGGAGCUGCUUUGCCUCAUCUCCCGGUCCGACCUGUCGUGGUUCUGCCUCACGGACCUCGUGUCCUGCUUUGGCUUCGUCACCGUGAGUCUGAGCUUCCACCUCAGGAGCCGCAGAGCGUCGUUCUAAUUCCACUGGUGCGUUGCCCGUUUGAUGACUCACUGCUUGUUGUAUCAUGGUUUUAUUCUGUGUCUCAGUCUCCACCAACACCAACAUCAUUGCCGUCAGUAUCGUGCUUGUUUUGUGUGUCGCGAGGAGCCAGGAGGCAGCAAAAACAACUCAUAACCUCAUAUCAGCGACUUCAAUGGGGAUUAAACCACUUCUCCCCCAUUUAAUAGGAAACAUUCUGCAGCAUCUUGACCUAGUUUUACAAUGAAAUAUUCAACAGCUUCUUCAUUUUUUACAGACAACCCAAAGUCAAUCGUAACGUUUUUCUGCAGUUUCGUCAUAUUUAAUUGAAUUGGUUUAGAUAUUUUUAGGGACUUAUUUCUGUGACUCUCAGGCGUUUCAGUGAAUAAGUCUCUGCUCUGCGUUCUCCCGAACGCAUGAGGCAGCGUGAACAAUUCAUGCAAAUGGACUCAAUCGAGGCUGGAAUCUGCAUAAACAGAGCUGCUGGUGGGAGGGUGGAGGUGAGGGAGCGCCGCCAGCGGAGCAGCGACUCCUCAGUCCUUCACGAGGCUGUGACCUUUGCUGGCGCGUUUGUGUAUUUCUCUGUUUAUUAUGCGUUUGCGUGAACCGAGGAGCUGCAUCAAGAAUAGAGAAGCUGCUGCUUCCUGCUCGAACGGCGGUGCCUCCACAGACUCAGCCGCUCAUCACCGCUCACAGGCAUCCUGCUUCUUCCUCAUGGGGGUGAAUGCUGCAGGCCACAGAGCAGAGGCUGCUGCAGGUACCGUGGUCCCAGCAGCAGCGUGGAAACCAGGUUUGAUUCUCCCAGGUGACAACGCAGGUCGCAGAGGGGAUGUGUGGGGCGAAGGCUCGUGCCUCAACGUGAGAGCGUUUCUUAUAAGUGUCACUUUAUGCAAGAUGCAUAUGAAUGAGCCACAAAUA